UACAGAGGGUGCAAGCGUUAAUCGGAAUUACUGGGCGUAAAGGGUGCGUAGGUGGAUACGUAAGUCAGAUGUGAAAUCCCCGGGCUUAACCUGGGAACUGCAUAUGAUACUGCGAAUCUAGAGUAUGGUAGAGGUAAGUGGAAUUUCCGGUGUAGCGGUGAAAUGCGUAGAUAUCGGAAGGAACAUCAGUGGCGAAGGCGACUUACUGGACUGAUACUGACACUGAGGCACGAAAGCGUGGGGAGCAAACAGG
rnacentral:rRNA from 1 species